AGUGCGGACCUUUCUUCAGCCUCUGUGCGACCGAGCCGCGCGCCAGGCUCCUGUGCGAGGAGGACGCGCUGACUCCCUCCGACCUGGGCUCCGAUGGAGCAGAAAUAGCGGGACCUGGACUUGUGGCGCGCCUGGUGCCACAUCUCGGGCUCUGCGAGCGUCCUGGCGCGGGAUCCUGCCGUGAGAAGGAGUUGGGGCGGGGGACCCGGCGGGGCAUUGCGGGAGAAGGCCUGGGAUCCCUGGGAGCCUUGUAGCGUGGGGGAGUUCACUGUGUAGAGAGGUUUCAUGUCUUCAUCUAUAUAGUCACUUAUUUGUCUUAAAGUUCUCGAAAUUCCCUCUUAGAGAAGGAGAAAGUUAGAGAACUGGAGGCUGCGUACCCUGAUUACGCAGAAGGGAAGCAGCCUCGCAUUCCCCGGGGCAGGCCCCCGCCCGCGCGUCCCGCCAGUAGGGGAAUUUAGCGGACGGCUGCGGUUGUCUGGUGAAAGGCUAUCCAAGGAUAAGGGGCUUCACUUUUCCCAAGUAGGGGAAAGAGAAGGGGUCUACAGGGCUAGGGGUGGAGGGAGCGGAUGCAGUGAGCAGCCUCCGCAGAGAAAUUGACAAUUUAACCAGGGACCUGCGGCAGAGACAAGGCGGAGACACUCCCUUGCCCAGGAAAGCCGCCAGAGUCCGGCUUGUACCUGGGGAAGAAUCCUUAAGACGGUCUGGCCCAACACUCCUUUGCUCACAGAGAAAGGGGAGAAGACUCCCGAGGGUGAAAAUGGUACAUUCGGAGCUGGAACUCAGCUCGCUGACCCCAAGCAGUGUUCCCUUCUUUUCGCCAGGUUUGCAUCCAAGAGAGGGGAGGACAGGGGCAAAAGGAUGCAGGGAGGCUGCUGAUUUCCACUGAAGAGCUAAUUUCCUGUGAGACAUUAACAGUGAUUUAAGAAAAAGAUUCCUGUAACUGUAAUGUCUUACAAUAACAGAAUGCAGGAGAGCACAUAUCAAUGAAGAAAAGACAAAAUGUACUUAUCCAUGAAGCUGAGGUUAAGAAACCAGUGUCUUCAAGAGCCAGGGACAGCACUGGGUCUGUGCAGAGUUGAGAGAUGGUGAUGACAUGGUGAGACACAAAUUCAGUCUAUUUCAUAGUUUGUGGUCAUUCCUAUUAAUAAACUUCCUUUCACAACUGUUUCAAUAUUCACACAAAAAUGUUAACCCAAUCUGCAGUUGUACCCCUUGAAUGUAAAAUAAAAAACAAAAGCCCACAAAAAUAGGAAUCCACACUUAAAAGGUGGAUUUAUUUAGCACAGUAUGGAGUUUCUUAGACUUCUCUAUCACUGUCUCUAACAAUGACAUACUCACCUAACCCCACUAAGAGCAACUUUAUUUCAUCUCUAGUUUUCGUCUAAAGAUUCAUGUGGAUUUUAGAUUCUACUCUUUUGUAGGUUCGUAUUUGUACUAUUAUAAAAUGUGACUCUCUCUCCAAACUUUGCCUAAAUUACGGAAUGAUUUUUCAUGUUUAUGCAGUGGUUUCCAGCAUUCCUCACCCAGUCCAGGGACACUGUGGGUGUGCCCAGCUUAAGUCCAGUAACUGGAAAUACAAGCCCAAGUUCUGGAGAGUUUGAGCUGCAGAGAUAUAUAUGGGAACACUUUGAAUCUUGACUCAUUGGCCAUAACCAGCAGAGUGGAAAAUACAAGAAGAGAAAAAAACAUUGAACUGCGAUUUUAUAACAUCCUUUACUAGGCAGAGAGAAGAGGAAACACCAGGAAAGAAAACUGUAUUACGAUGUGAAAACUUAAUGUUGAGAAAUUCAGGCAUCUUGGGGUUAGUGAGGAGAAGUUUUAGGGGCUUAGAUUCUUCUAAACACAUGUACAGAAAUGCAUAUUUCAUCUGAUAUCAAAUGGCAUUUAUAGUGCUAAUCUUUACCUCAAGACUUCACAUCUUUUGGUGAUUGCAUCUUUUAGGUUUAUAGCAGCUAAGUUUGCAUGAAAACACCAGGGCUGUUUCAUUUCAGUCAAGAAUUAAUGUUCAUUGAUUGUGCUUCUGCAUUUCAUGUAACUAUUGUAGAAUUUGUUUUAGUUUUAUGAGGGAAUAAUUGUUCCAACUUCUAUAUAACUCAGGAAUUUACUCUCAAACAACACUGUCAAUUAGUUACUUAUCUCUCUGGAAAUGAUCUGGGAACAUGGAGAGGAAAGGGAGGAAGGGGCAAAAUCUGACCACUUAAAUCUAAGCAUAUUAGAUCAUUUUAUGCUAGAAAGUCCUGAAUGAUGUGACUUUCGUUCUUGUAAAACACCUCUUUCCAUAGAUUCAUGGCCCAAACAGUAUAUAAAGAGUGGGGAAGGAACUGCAUUUGCAAAUAGUUCAAAUCAUUGCUCCAUCUUAACUACGCAGUUCACAAAGUGUGAAGAAAUGUGAUCAUCUCAAAAAAGAUAAUGGGGAAAAAAUAUGUUUUGUUCUGUGACUUUAAAGUCUUGCAAUAUUUUACAUAAAUGAUAAUGGGUGCUUUAAUAAGAACUCUUGAUACUUUUGUUAUUGUAUUCAAUAUAUGCAUAUAAUACAACAGGAUGAUAUUGUUUUGGAUUUGGAAAUGUAUUCUUUCUUAUGCAAUCUUAUGCAGUCAUACUGCUUGAAUAUCAUUACCUGAAUUUAUCUUUCUUUUUUUUGUUGUUGUUUUACACUCUACUUAUUUGGUGCCUGUCAGUCUUUUGUCGUCAGUUUAUAUUCUACUAAACUCAAAAAGACAAUCUCAUACCUUUUGUAAUUGUAGGCAUUCUUUACUAGAUUUUUAAAUACACUUCAAAAAUUCAAGUACUUUGAUUUCAUGCCAUCAAGUAGCUGAAUCUAUCCCCCCGUCUCUUUUUAAAUUUAAGUGAGUAGUUCAAUUUCUGUCACUUUCUACUUUGUGAAUUCUAAAUCUUUUAAAACCAUCUUGCCAUUUUUCGUGCACUUACCCUUACAGAAAACUCUGUGAAACACUACUUAUCUCUACUUUUAUGUUUUUAACUCCUUUUUUAUAUUACUAUUCCCUCUGCUUUCUAAAUGCACAUAUUAAUUUGUUCUUUUUAUUCUCUGUAGCUCUUCUCAGUGUAUGAAUUCAGUUUCCCAUCAGUCUCCAUACAAUUAAAAAAAAGUUGAGUAUUCUGUUAUUUUAAUAAGAUAUCUAGUGCCCAUAUUCUAAUUCUGCCCCUUAUUUUUAAUAUAAUUUUAUUGUUGAUUUAAAAUGACAACAGUUUCAAUUCCCAGAAAGUGAAAGGAAACAAAGGAAUAAUAUUAUAGGCUUAAUUUUUAUCAGUGAACUUGUAGGUGAAGAAAAGAUUUGGGGAAGGAAAUGAACAUAUUAUAUUGCAAAAUAGUAAGGAACAAUCAGAUGUGUUUUCUAGUCUCUGGAAAAGCAUGUUUCAAGAAAUUCAAUGAAAAGUUCAUCAUGCUUGCUUAGAUUGUUGAGAAGCAAAAACACUGAUGAACAUUUGGAAGCAAUGAGAAUGUAAUUCUAAUCAUACUCUUUUAAUAAUGUUGCAAAACUCUCCAAACACUACUCUGUGUGGAUGUCUUUCAGAAUAUGAUGAAUACUAGUAGUCUUAUUCUGCCCUUUUCUCUCUAUCACAAUAUAUACAUUCUAUAUUGCAUACACAUAUUUUCCAAAUAUUACAUAUAAUUUCAUGUAAUUUAUAGACCUAUUAAGGCCCAACCAUUUUCUUGGAUAGGGGAUUCUUUAGAAGUCCAGCUUAAAUAAAGCCCGUAUAGAAAGUUUUUUUAAAAUUUAUACAUAAUCACCUAAAGUAACCUUAUCUACUGAACUCUUAGUACAUGCUACUGGAACCUUUUAUCAUGUUUCUUCCUGGCUUGCAUUACAACACUGUUGACAUAUCUCAGCCUUACUUCUAGGCUUCUUUGAGAGCAUGACUCAUGUUUGUAUUCCUCACUGAGGUUGAAUGAAUAAGAGAAACUACAGUAGUAGGAAAAAACAGUACAUGUACAUAUCAAUGAAUAUGAAAGGGUCAAAUGGAUCUAUUAUAGUAAGCACAAAAUCAACUGACACCAGCAAAGUAAACCCAAAAUUUUUAAUGGUAUUUUAAUAGAUCAAGAGGAGCAAGCAGAUUUUUGAGACAGUUGUCUCCUACUUUCUCUAUCACAGGGAGUAAUUUUAAAAGAAAAAUGGAGGGUAAGUUUCUUUAAGAGAAAAUUGUAGUUUAAAACAGGUCAUGGGAUAAUUAGAAAUAAUUUAAUUUCUUUAGAGGAUUUUAAUCUUUCAACUGCUUGCAAUUAGAUCCUAAGGCAAUAAAAGAAUAAGGAGAUUUGGAAAACCAUUGUCUGUAAUCUCUGAAGAAAAGUGGACAUUAGGGGAGUCAGUUGAAAAGCAAAGCUAUCACCAUUUUCUAAAGAGGAAAAAGGUGAACCUCACAAACUAUAGACCAAAAAAAUAGGACAUCGAGAGAAAGAAUAUGAAGCUAGCAUAGGUUCACAAAGAAUGAGUCAAAUCAAACAACAUGCAUUUUUUAUUUAUAAAGCAUGACUUGUUCAUUGUCAAUUCAUGUUAGCUUAAUCAUUAGGCAUUAAUGCCAUCACUGCAAUGCAUAUGUCAGCAAUAAAUAAUCAAAGACCAGGCUUCCAUCAUUCUGUUUAAUAUCUUCAAGUAAUGCUUAAGUUUGCAAAUGCUCUUUUAACACAUUCUCCAUAUGCAGCCUGCCCAGCACUGCACACAAUAGACCUGUUACUUCCCCCUCACGAGCACUCCUAAUAUUUCAUGUGCUCAUCCAAUUGACUUCUCCCACUGGUGCCUCAUAUUGAAUUUGUAGAAUCACACCUGCUCCUUUUUCAAAACUCUUCUGAGUUUUUUCUUAAAUAAUUCACUGACCCCAAAGUUGUCAGAUAUUUGAAGACUACUCGCACAAUUUUAAUAUUAUAAAUGUAUAAUGUAAAUGUAAUUAAGAUUUGUAUAAUGUACGAUGUACUUUGGUAAAUAAAAGUAUGCUGUGAAUAAAUACGUAUGAUACAAUUCAAAAUUUUACAUAAAUAUGUGAUAAAAUUUAGCUCAUAUUCUUUUUUUUUUUCUUUGAGACGGAGUCUCACUCUGU
rnacentral:lncRNA from 10 species